AAGGGGUGACGGCGUACCUUUUGUAUAAUGGGUCAGCGACUUACGUUCAGUAGCAAGCUUAACCGUAUAGGGCAGGCGUAGCGAAAGCGAGUCCGAAUAGGGCGUUCAGUUGCUGGGCGUAGACCCGAAACCAGGUGAUCUAUCCAUGGCCAGGAUGAAGGUGCGGUAACACGUACUGGAGGUCCGAACCCACUAACGUUGAAAAGUUAGGGGAUGAGCUGUGGAUAGGGGUGAAAGGCUAAACAAACCUGGAAAUAGCUGGUUCUCUCCGAAAACUAUUUAGGUAGUGCCUCGUGUCUCACCUUCGGGGGUAGAGCACUGUCAUGGUUGGGGGGUCUAUUGCAGAUUACCCCGCCAUAGCAAACUCCGAAUACCGAAGAGUGCAAUCACGGGAGACAGACAUCGGGUGCUAACGUCCGGUGUCAAGAGGGAAACAACCCAGACCGCCAGCUAAGGUCCCCAAAUAUAGCUAAGUGGGAAACGAAGUGGGAAGGCUAAAACAGUCAGGAGGUUGGCUUAGAAGCAGCCACCCUUUAAAGAAAGCGUAAUAGCUCACUGAUCGAGUCGUCCUGCGCGGAAGAUGUAACGGGGCUAAGCUAUAUACCGAAGCUGCGGAUGCGUGCUUGCACGCAUGGUAGGAGAGCGUUCCGUAAGCCUGCGAAGGUGCCUUGUAAAGGGUGCUGGAGGUAUCGGAAGUGCGAAUGCUGACAUGAGUAGCGAUAAAGGGGGUGAAAGGCCCCCUCGCCGUAAGCCCAAGGUUUCCUACGCAACGUUCAUCGGCGUAGGGUGAGUCGGCCCCUAAGGCGAGGCAGAAAUGCGUAGCUGAUGGGAAGCAGGUCAAUAUUCCUGCACCAUUGUUAGAUGCGAUGGGGGGACGGAUCGCGGAAGGUUGUCCGGGUGUUGGAAGUCCCGGUCGCUGCAUUGGAGAAGGCGCUUAGGCAAAUCCGGGCGCGUAAUUCAAGGGUGUGGCGCGAGCUCCUUAGGGAGCGAAGCAAUUGGAAGUGGUUCCAAGAAAAGCCUCUAAGCUUCAGUCUAACGAUGACCGUACCGCAAACCGACACAGGUGGGCGAGAUGAGUAUUCUAAGGCGCUUGAGAGAACUCGGGAGAAGGAACUCGGCAAAUUGGUACCGUAACUUCGGGAUAAGGUACGCCCUUGUAGCUUGACCAGCCUGCGCUGGAAGGGUGAAGGGGUUGCAAUAAACUGGUGGCUGCGACUGUUUAAUAAAAACACAGCACUCUGCAAACACGAAAGUGGACGUAUAGGGUGUGACGCCUGCCCGGUGCCGGAAGAUUAAAUGAUGGGGUGCAAGCUCUUGAUUGAAGUCCCGGUAAACGGCGGCCGUAACUAUAACGGUCCUAAGGUAGCGAAAUUCCUUGUCGGGUAAGUUCCGACCUGCACGAAUGGCGUAACGAUGGCCACACUGUCUCCUCCCGAGACUCAGCGAAGUUGAAGUGUUUGUGAUGAUGCAAUCUACCCGCGGCUAGACGGAAAGACCCCAUGAACCUUUACUGUAGCUUUGCAUUGGACUUUGAACCGAUCUGUGUAGGAUAGGUGGGAGGCUAUGAAACCGGAACGCUAGUUUCGGUGGAGCCGUCCUUGAAAUACCACCCUGGUUUGUUUGAGGUUCUAACCUUGGCCCGUGAUCCGGGUCGGGGACAGUGCAUGGUAGGCAGUUUGACUGGGGCGGUCUCCUCCCAAAGCGUAACGGAGGAGUACGAAGGUACGCUAGGUACGGUCGGAAAUCGUGCUGAUAGUGCAAUGGCAUAAGCGUGCUUAACUGCGAGACCGACAAGUCGAGCAGGUGCGAAAGCAGGUCAUAGUGAUCCGGUGGUUCUGUAUGGAAGGGCCAUCGCUCAACGGAUAAAAGGUACUCUGGGGAUAACAGGCUGAUACCGCCCAAGAGUUCAUAUCGACGGCGGUGUUUGGCACCUCGAUGUCGGCUCAUCUCAUCCUGGGGCUGUAGCCGGUCCCAAGGGUAUGGCUGUUCGCCAUUUAAAGAGGUACGUGAGCUGGGUUUAAAACGUCGUGAGACAGUUUGGUCCCUAUCUGCCGUGGGCGUUGGAUAUUUGAAGGGGGCUGCUCCUAGUACGAGAGGACCGGAGUGGACGAACCUCUGGUGUACCGGUUGUCACGCCAGUGGCAUCGCCGGGUAGCUAUGUUCGGAAGAGAUAACCGCUGAAAGCAUCUAAGCGGGAAACUCGCCUUAAGAUGAGAUAUCCCUGGGGACUAGAUCCCCUUGAAGGGUCGUUCGAGACCAGGACGUUGAUAGGUCAGGUGUGUAAGCGCAGUAAUGCGUUCAGCUAACUGAUACUAAUUGCCCGUAAGGCUUGAUCCU
rnacentral:rRNA from 1 species